GACGAACGCUGGCGGCGUGCUUAACACAUGCAAGUCGAACGGAAAGGCCCUGCUUGCAGGGUACUCGAGUGGCGAACGGGUGAGUAACACGUGGGUGAUCUGCCCUGCACUUCGGGAUAAGCCUGGGAAACUGGGUCUAAUACCGGAUAGGAGCCAUUUUUAGUGUGAUGGUUGGAAAGUUUUUUCGGUGUAGGAUGAGCUCGCGGCCUAUCAGCUUGUUGGUGGGGUAAUGGCCUACCAAGGCGGCGACGGGUAGCCGGCCUGAGAGGGUGGACGGCCACAUUGGGACUGAGAUAAGGCCCAGACUCCUACGGGAGGCAGCAGUGGGGAAGAUUGCACAAUGGGCGCAAGCCUGAUGCAGCGACGCCGCGUGGGGGAUGACGGCCUUCGGGUUGUAAACUCCUUUCGCUAGGGACGAAGCUUUUUGUGACGGUACCUAGAGAAGAAGCACCGGCUAACUACGUG
rnacentral:rRNA from 1 species